CAACAGGGAUUGCCUCAGUAACGGCGAGUGAAGCGGCAACAGCUCAAAUUUGAAAUCUGGCUCUUUCAGGGUCCGAGUUGUAAUUUGUAGAGGAUGUUUCGGGUAAGAUCUAGGUCUAAGUUCCUUGGAACAGGACGUCAUAGAGGGUGAGAAUCCCGUACGUGACCGAGGAUCGCACCCAUGUGAAACUCCUUCGACGAGUCGAGUUGUUUGGGAAUGCAGCUCAAAAUGGGUGGUAAAUUUCAUCUAAAGCUAAAUAUUGGCCAGAGACCGAUAGCGCACAAGUAGAGUGAUCGAAAGAUGAAAAGCACUUUGAAAAGAGAGUUAAACAGUAUGUGAAAUUGUUGAAAGGGAAGCGCUUGCAACCAGACUUGUUUAACGGGUUCAACCCCCUUUCCGGGCGGUGUAUUUCCCGUUAUCAGGCCAGUAUCAGUUUGGGUGGAUGGUUAAAGGCCCUGGGAAUGUGAUACCUCUCGGGGUAAGUUAUAGCCCAGGGUGUAAUGCUUCCUACCCGGACUGAGGAACGCGCUUCGGCUCGGAUACUGGCGUAAUGGUUGUAAGCGACCCGUCUUGAAACACGGACCAAGGAGUCUAACAUCUAUGCGAGUGUUUGGGUGUUAAACCCAUGCGCGGAAUGAAAGUGAACGGAGGUGGGAAUUUUUAAUGCACCAUCGACCGAUCCUGAUGUCUUCGGAUGGAUUUGAGUAAGAGCAUAGCUGUUGGGACCCGAAAGAUGGUGAACUAUGCCUGAAUAGGGUGAAGCCAGAGGAAACUCUGGUGGAGGCUCGCAGCGGUUCUGACGUGCAAAUCGAUCGUCAAAUUUGGKUAUAGGGGCGAAAGACUAAU
rnacentral:rRNA from 1 species